rnacentral:rRNA from 1 species
UACAGAGGGUGCGAGCGUUGUCCGGAAUCACUGGGCGUAAAGGGCGCGUAGGCGGCUUUUCAAGCGUGCGGUGAAAGCUCGGGGCUUAACUCCGAGUCUGCCGUGCGAACUGGGAGGCUUGAGUCUGGUAGAGGUCGAUGGAAUUCCGGGUGUAGCGGUGGAAUGCGUAGAGAUCCGGAGGAAGACCGGUGGCGAAGGCGGCCUGCUGGGCAGUUACUGACACUGAGGCGCGACAGCGUGGGGAGCAAACAGG